rnacentral:rRNA from 1 species
AGAGUUUGAUCAUGGCUCAGAUUGAACGCUGGCGGCAGGCCUAACACAUGCAAGUCGAACGGUAACAGGAAGUGCUUGCACUUCGCUGACGAGUGGCGGACGGGUGAGUAAUGCUUGGGAACUUGCCUUUGCGAGGGGGAUAACAGUUGGAAACGACUGCUAAUACCGCAUAAUGUCUACGGACCAAACGGGGCUUAGGCUCCGGCGCAGAGAGAGGCCCAAGUGAGAUUAGCUAGUUGGUAAGGUAAAGGCUUACCAAGGCAACGAUCUCUAGCUGUUCUGAGAGGAAGAUCAGCCACACUGGAACUGAGACACGGUCCAGACUCCUACGGGAGGCAGCAGUGGGGAAUAUUGCACAAUGGGGGAAACCCUGAUGCAGCCAUGCCGCGUGUGUGAAGAAGGCCUUCGGGUUGUAAAGCACUUUCAGUUGUGAGGAAAAGUUAGUAGUUAAUACCUGCUAGCCGUGACGUUAACAACAGAAGAAGCACCGGCUAACUCCGUGCCAGCAGCCGCGGUAAUACGGAGGG